CGACCGGCGCACGGGUGAGUAACACGUAUGAAACCUGCCCGUAGCAGGGAGAUAAGCGGAAGAAAUUCCGUCUAAUACCGCGUAACAACCCAUGGAGGCAUCUCUGUGGGUUUAAAGGAAGCGAUUCCGGCUACGGAUGGUCAUGCGUCGCAUUAGCUUGUUGGCGGGGUAACGGCCCACCAAGGCGACGAUGCGUAGGGGUUCUGAGAGGAAGGUCCCCCACACUGGUACUGAGACACGGACCAGACUCCUACGGAAGGCAGCAG
rnacentral:rRNA from 1 species